AUUGAACGCUGGCGGCAGGCUUAACACAUGCAAGUCGAACGAUGAUUAUCUAGCUUGCUAGAUAUGAUUAGUGGCGGACGGGUGAGUAACAUUUAGGAAUCUGCCUAGUAGUGGGGGAUAGCUCGGGGAAACUCGAAUUAAUACCGCAUACGACCUACGGGUGAAAGGGGGCGCAAGCUCUUGCUAUUAGAUGAGCCUAAAUCAGAUUAGCUAGUUGGUGGGGUAAAGGCCCACCAAGGCGACGAUCUGUAACUGGUCUGAGAGGAUGAUCAGUCACACCGGAACUGAGACACGGUCCGGACUCCUACGGGAGGCAGCAGUGGGGAAUAUUGGACAAUGGGGGCAACCCUGAUCCAGCCAUGCCGCGUGUGUGAAGAAGGCCUUUUGGUUGUAAAGCACUUUAAGCAGGGAGGAGAGGCUAAUGGUUAAUACCCAUUAGAUUAGACGUUACCUGCAGAAUAAGCACCGGCUAACUCUGUGCCAGCAGCCGCGGUAAUACAGAGGGUGCGAGCGUUAAUCGGAAUUACUGGGCGUAAAGCGAGUGUAGGUGGCUCAUUAAGUCACAUGUGAAAUCCCCGGGCUUAACCUGGGAACUGCAUGUGAUACUGGUGGUGCUAGAAUAUGUGAGAGGGAAGUAGAAUUCCAGGUGUAGCGGUGAAAUGCGUAGAGAUCUGGAGGAAUACCGAUGGCGAAGGCAGCUUCCUGGCAUAAUAUUGACACUGAGAUUCGAAAGCGUGGGUAGCAAACAGGAUUAGAUACCCUGGUAGUCCACGCCGUAAACGAUGUCUACUAGCCGUUGGGGUCCUUGAGACUUUAGUGGCGCAGUUAACGCGAUAAGUAGACCGCCUGGGGAGUACGGCCGCAAGGUUAAAACUCAAAUGAAUUGACGGGGGCCCGCACAAGCGGUGGAGCAUGUGGUUUAAUUCGAUGCAACGCGAAGAACCUUACCUGGUCUUGACAUAGUGAGAAUCCUGCAGAGAUGCGGGAGUGCCUUCGGGAAUUCACAUACAGGUGCUGCAUGGCUGUCGUCAGCUCGUGUCGUGAGAUGUUGGGUUAAGUCCCGCAACGAGCGCAACCCUUUUCCUUAUUUGCCAGCGGGUUAAGCCGGGAACUUUAAGGAUACUGCCAGUGACAAACUGGAGGAAGGCGGGGACGACGUCAAGUCAUCAUGGCCCUUACGACCAGGGCUACACACGUGCUACAAUGGUAGGUACAGAGGGUUGCUACACAGCGAUGUGAUGCUAAUCUCAAAAAGCCUAUCGUAGUCCGGAUUGGAGUCUGCAACUCGACUCCAUGAAGUCGGAAUCGCUAGUAAUCGCAGAUCAGAAUGCCGCGGUGAAUACGUUCCCGGGCCU
rnacentral:rRNA from 1 species